rnacentral:rRNA from 1 species
CGCGUAGGCGGUUUGAACAGUUGGGCGUGAAAUUCCAGGGCUUAACCUUGGGACUGCGUUCAAUACGUUUGGACUUGAGUUCGGAAGAGGGUCGUGGAAUUCCCAGUGUAGAGGUGAAAUUCGUAGAUAUUGGGAAGAACACCGGUGGCGAAGGCGGCGACCUGGUCCGAAACUGACGCUGAGGCGCGAAAGCGUGGGGAGCAAACA